UCUGUUGAGGACUUCGGAACGAAGCCUGUGAAGAACCCAGCUCUGGCCGAUUGCACAAUUUCUCCCCUAGGUGGCGGCAGCGCACAAGCUGUGCAAGGGCAAGCCUCUGACCCCUGGAAACCAGAGCCUGGAAAGUGAAGAGAACUCAACCCGGAAGUGAGGGCACAACCGAUUCCUAAACAGGCAGCCAGCCCACGAUAGCUGGAGGCGUGUUGGGUCUCUGAGGAGAGCGCUGGAUGACUCCGAGAGUUUGGAGCGUUAUGUGUUAAUACCAAGUGACGUGGAGAAUUAACAAGAGCCGCUAAGAAAGUUGACUACUAGGGACCAAAGCCUCAAGUCCCCCCGGGGGCCAGGAGUCCAACAACUGCAUUUCUCAGACUCCCCUGCGAGCUGUUUACCGGGGAAGCCCUGUCAGCAGGAGGCACCAGCGGGAAACCGGAAGAGGAGCCUCUCCCUGUGUGUGGCGCUGGAAGCAGCAGCCGCGGCUGGUGAUAACGGGUUCCAACAACGUCACUGCGGUCAAAGCAGCGACAGAGUUCCAGAAACCACAGCAGCAGCUCCAGUCCAGGUAGCAGAUUCCUGAUCUCUGGACGAUCCCCGUCCUCAUCCCAUUUUUACCUUCUCCAGUUUGGCCAACACGUUUGUAACCGAUUCGCCGCAUCGCAUCCUGUUUUACUCCGUCCGGAGUGGCUUCUGUUUUCUUGUCUUGAUAUUGACUGAUACAAUACGCAAAUUGUCCGAUGCAAACAGACCCUGAUCAGGGUGCAUGGGGUGGGGGGUGUAGUGAGGAGGGGUCGCUGGCUUCUAAAGCUAAUCUCUGUUCUACUCAACCCUGACCACUUUGACCACUUUUAUGGCACAACUGUGACCCUUGUCACCACCAGCCACUCAAGCUGGUUCUUUUUUGUUUUAUUAAGAGUUUAUUUUUAAGUAGUCUCCACAUCGGGUUGGCCCUUCGUGUUUUGAAUUUGACCCCUAGUAAUUGUCCCUUGGCUCCACCCCUCAGCCCCACUCUUUGCCCUUUGAAAGCUUGGCUGCCCCCUCUUUGGUGGUGGCCCUUGGUUACCUCUUGAUGCAGGCUUCUUGUGCGUUUGACGUUCCUGCUCUGACUCCCCCAAGCCAGGCUCCACACACAAUCUGCCCUAUUCCCAUCCCAGGAAGCAGGCAAAGCUCGUUUAAAAAUCCCAAGAGUGUUAGCCUGUGUUCAACCAGAGAAGUAGAACCCAUAGUAAAAAGGGUAAAAAUACACAGAAGAAUAGGGGAUCAAGGGAUUGUUAGAGGAAGGGGCCCCACACAAUUGAGGGAGCCGGUUAAGUAGUCUCUGUGAGUAUGUGGUCUCCAUGCCUGAUGCUGGAACUUCAAGUCCAUAGGACAGGGAAUCAGGAAGAGAAGAUGGAUGUCAAGGACGGGGUAGAAGCCACAGAGGGGGCUGGUGCUCCAGAGGAUGGUCUGAAACCAUGUCAGUUCUUGUUGCCUCUGACCCUGUGGUAUGCCUCUGACCCUCAGCAGAAGCUGAGUUGAAGAUAUGGAGCUGGGAGUACAAUGAGCAAAUACUCUUAAAGCUCAGAGGGCAGAGAAUCAGAACAGAACUGCAUAGAAAGUGCUCUGAUGAUCGGCAGAAGGUCCGCCUUGAGUUUUUCAGUGGGAAACUGAUCAGUGCAAGCAUGUGAGGAAAUCACCCAAGCCUAGUAAAACCAUCCAAAAGGAUUAGAAGGAGCAAUCACUCAGCUCACAUAGGAUCAAGAAUGGUUCCUAUUCUCACAAAACAAAGUAAAAAAAAAAAACCCUCAUAAUUCACAGGGCAUCCAACAGAAUACCCAAAAAAGGUUAGCUUUGCCUCAGUACUGGGGCAAAAUCAGCCCAAACUAAUAGUGCCUGGUCCUACUUAACCAAACAUAAAUCUAAGACAUGAAAGGGUCAAACUAUUCCCAAGUAGUUUAACUGCAUUCCAGAACAAAGCUCAAGCUUAUUUUCAGACAUUACAAAAUGUCUAGUACCAAACAAAGUAAUACUCACAAUCUCUGACAUCCAAUAAAAAAUGAUCAGGCAUGCAAAGAAGCAGGAAAAUAUAACCUCCUCAUAAUUGAGGAGAAAAAUCAGUCAAUAGAAAGACACAGAAAUGAAACAGAUGAUAGAAUUAGUAGACAAAGGCAUUAAAACAAGUAUUAGAACCAAUUUCUAUAUGUUCAAGGAGAUAAAGGAAAGAUGGACUGUGUUAAUCAGACAUAUGGAAGAUUAUAAAAAUUCAAAUCAAGAAUCUAGAGAUGAAAGUUACAGUUUCAGAUGAGAAAUAUACUGGAUGGGAUUAAUAGAAGAUUAGACAUUUCAGAAGAAAGCAUUAGUAAACUUGAAGACAUAGCCUUAGAAACUGUCCAGAAUGAAACUCAAAGCAGAAGAAAGCUAAAAAUAAACAGAGCAUCAAUGAACUGUGAAGCAAUUUCAAACAGCCUAAUGUAUAUGUAAUCGAAGUUUUCAAAGAAGAAGGGAAGAGGGGGCAGAAAAAAAGAAAUAAUGGCUGAAACAUUUUCGAGUUUGAUGAAAAGGAUAAUUCCACAGAUCCAGGAAACUUCACAAAUUCCAAGCAGCAGCCUCUCCAUCACCACAACAAAAAACUGAUAUCAAGGUACAUUAUAAUUAAAUUGCUUAAAACCAAGGAUAAAGAGAAAAAUCUUAAAAGCAACCAGAGAAAUUUCACUUACAGUCGUAGGACUCAAAGAAUUGAAAGUAGAAAUUCAAACAGUACUCACACACCUUUGUUUAUAGCAGCGUUAUUCACAAAAGCUAACAGAUGAAAACAACUUAGUUGUUUGACAGAUGAAUGGAUAAGAAAUGUGAUAUGUGCAUCCAGGGGAAUGUUAUUCAAUCAUAAAAAGAAAUGAAAUUCUGAGACAUGCUCCAGCAUGGGGGAAUUUUGAGGACAUUAAUGAAUAACAAUGAGUGAAAUCGACGAGACACAAAAGCACAAAUAUUAUAUGAUUCCACUUAUAUGAAGUAUCGAGAACAAGCAAAUACACAGAGACAGAAAGCACAAUAGAGGUUAUUGGAGGUGUGGGAAAGGGGGGGAUGAAGAGUUACUGUUUAAUGGGUACAGAGUUUCUAUAUGGAAUGAUGAAGAAGUUCUGGGACAUGGAGAGUGGAGAUGAUUGCACAAGACCGUGAAUAUAUUUAAUGCCAUUUAAUGCCAUUACUUAAAAAUGGGUAAAAUGAUAAAUUUUAUGUUCUGUAAAUUUUAUCACAAUAAAGACAGAGCACUCAGAGAAGGCAAAACUGUAGAAACAUUAAAAAGGUCGGUCAUUGCCCGAGGCUCGGAGGCAGGCAGGGAGGGAGGAAUGAGUAGAUGAACUACAGGAGAUUUUUAGGGUGGUAAAACCAUUCUUUAUGGUACGGUAAUGGAUAUUAUGCAUCUGUGAAAACCCAUAGAACUAUACAAUGCAAAAAAAUAAACCCUUAUAUAAACUAAGGACUUUAGUUAAUGAUGUGUCAAUAUUGGUUUAUUAAUGGUAACAAAUGUACCAUACUAAGGCAAGAUGUUAAAAAUAGAGAAAACUGUAUGGGAAGAGGGAAGGUAUAUGGGAACACUCUAUGUUUUCCUCUCAACCUUUAUCUAAAUUAAACUGUUGUAAAAAGUAAAGUCUACUCAUAAAAAUAAAAAAUAAACAAUGAGCAGGCAGAGAAAGAAACGUAUACGAAGAAACAAUUUAAGAAGGACAGCAGACCUCUCCUAGGAAGCAAUGCAACCCAGGGGAUAGUGGAGGAAGGCACCACCAGAAAAAACUAUCAGCUUGGAAUUCUUUACCAAGCUCAAUGCUGUUCAAAACUGAAGAUGAAAUAACGGCUUUUUAUUUAUAAAAAAAAUGCUCUCAGAAUUUAUCACCAGCAGACACACACUGCAAGAAAUGUUAAAGGAAAUCUUUCAGGCAGAAUGAAAGUGAUGCCAGAUGGAAGUGUCGAUCACACAAAGCGAAUGAAGAAGAAAGGAAACAGGAACUAUGUGGAUAAAUGUGAAGGUAUCUGGGUGCUGCCGAUUUCUGAGUUUUGGGGGGGCCCCAAUGCAAUGUUAAACAGGUUGAUGCUAAUGUUAAACAGCCUUCUUGAUGGUUCAGUCCUUUUGAGCUUGCUACGUCAUUUAUGUCUUUAGGCCAUUAUGACAGACCAUUUGCUUUCCUGAUUCCAAAGUUUUCAACGUUUGUCACCUCUCCCAUUGUUUCGGCCAUUCCCCCCAGGACUGGUGCGCAUAUCCCAUCUGUUGUUGUGUAUCAGAAACAGAUGAAAUAUACAUAUAACGUUCAAAUAUUAAAAACAAAUAAACAGAGCAUUGGUGAGCUGUGGGGCAAUUCUUCCUUCAAGUUCCAUGUCCCUUGGUUAAAGUAUAUUACCAGUGUGACUUCCCUUCAAAUUCAUUCUUGUCACUGCUAUAUAAAUUUCCCAUCAGGUCUGGAAGGCGUUGAUGAACCGUUUUCCAUCAUAAUUCAACUUUGAAUCACUUAUUUAAUAAGAAUACUCACAUUUGUGAGACACGCAGGUGUUUUAGACUGAAAAUGUGAUAUCAUGCAGUUAUUAGAAGCAGUAGGAAGUUGUGUGGGGCACCAGGAAGAAGCCUUUCUGGUUCCGGGACGGUCGCUGCUCAGGAGUUCUGGGUUCUAAUUCCAGUUUUCUCAAUACUAGCCGUCUGUCUUUGGUUAACUGACAUGGCUUAUCUGGAUCUCACGGUCUUCAUCUGUAUUUUAAUGAUGGGGUUGUGUUUGGGGGGAUUUAAGCAUUUUAUUUUUCUCUAAAAACAUUUUCUGUGUAUUCUGGCACAGUGGAGACAAAUCUCAUUUUUCUCAUCCAGUUAGAGAAUAAAAACAAUCUCUGAGCA